GAUGAACGCUAGCUACAGGCUUAACACAUGCAAGUCGAGGGGCAGCAUGGGCUUAGCUUGCUAAGCCCGAUGGCGACCGGCGCACGGGUGAGUAACACGUAUCCAACCUUCCGGUAGCUCCGGUAUAGCCUUUCGAAAGAAAGAUUAAUCCCGGAUAGUAUGGUGAUUCCGCAUGGUUUCUCCAUUAAAGGAUUCCGGUUACCGAUGGGGAUGCGUUCCAUUAGGCAGUUGGCGGGGUAACGGCCCACCAAACCUACGAUGGAUAGGGGUUCUGAGAGGAAGGUCCCCCCACAUUGGAACUGAGACACGGUCCAAGCUCCUACGGGAGGCAGCAGUGAGGAAUAUUGGUCAAUGGGCGGAAGCCUGAACCAGCCAAGUAGCGU
rnacentral:rRNA from 1 species